UAGAAACGCCUCAUUGGUGCGUGCACCCGUCAAUUACGACAGCGCUCUAACGUGGGCGUCAUAACGGGGCUUUGACGUUAGAGGUGAUUGGUCAUCUGAUGGGUUUGACGUCACGGCGCUGCCAGCUGAUCGGAGGAGAAGCCGGUAUGAGAGGAGUAGAAGCGGACAGACUUCGGGAGCGGUGUGAAGACGGACGCACUGAGGCAGAGACAGACUAAUGGAACAAUCUUAUUUAAUCCAGUUAAUGACAAGGUAGUAGUUACUGUGGCUGCAUUUGACACUCAUUCGCUUAUAAACAGCUUUUAGUUCCACAGCGGCGCUGUGAAGUGUCAGCUCUGAUUUAGGGUUAAGGUGUGGCUUACUGCGAAAUGCGAUUUUCCCCGAGUCCCAUUCGGAUUUGAGUUUAAUCAAGGACUCGGUUUGUUUAUUGAAGAUAAAGUCACUUUUCAGGUAUGAUUAUAACCGGGUGGGAUUUUUAGGAAGGAAGCAGCCGUCUAGGCUACAAUGUGUUUAAACUAAUAAGUAAAAAAAAAAAUGUUGCAGCGCUCGGGAAAACUGUUAUAACGUUUCUGGCACGAUUUCUCGAUAACUACCCUAACAGGAAACAACACUGGAGUGUAAUAGAGGUAUAAUAAACAUGUUGUAAGCCUUGAGAAAGGCGAGUUGUUAGGAGACGGGGGGAUGAUCUGGGAGUUGAGCAGGGCGUGAGCGUGGAGUCGGGCAGAAGAGAGAGAGCGCUCCGUCAUGUCGGGGUGAGGAGCUCCUCGAAUAAACAACAAAACCAAUUACACAAGCCUGUGUUUAGGAGAAGUUUUGAAAGGGGACCUGCAUUGCUUUCGAAAGGAGACGCGGUGGCGAAGAUAACACUGAGAAAACAAUUCCUCUUGUGAAACUGCUGUAAGCAGUAGAAAUGUUCGUCUGUGCUUCUCAGUGCUACGAGGCGUAAUGGAUUUCUGCUGGUCUGACUGGCGGCCUGCUGGUCUGAAGGUUGAUCAUCUCCAUCUCUUGGAAUGUCCAGCGCAUGUCCGGAUGCCACUGGCUGACCCGCAGCAGUUCUUCACUGGCAAGCUUUAUGUCCUUGUGUAUCAGCUAAAGCUGCCAGCUGAAGAACUGUUGUGGUUGGCUCUUUCCUGGCACCCCAGCUUAGAACAAGACUAUCACAAGUCAAGAGUUGGAGGAAUAUGACACGAGCCAGAUGGUAGAGAAGUCAAAAUCAGUCUCAGGUCAGACAGGUCCUGAUUUUUAUCUUAAUUCGUUUAUCCACUGCAUCCCAAACCCCCCCCAGACCCCAUUUGGAAGGUGUCACGUGAGCUGUCUGGGCCUGGCUCUGCAUUCUCUGCAAGCAUAAACUAAACCUACUGGCAAGGCCCAUGCUGAGUCAGCAACAUUCCUGAACGGAUGAGAUGCUCCUGCCCUUAUUUGGGCGUGGAACAGGCGGGGAAACACCCUUUCAACCUCUCUGCUACUGAUCAAAAUGUUUUGCGGGGUUGAAAGAAGAACGGCAAUGCUCUUAUGGAUGUCACUGUGUUCUCUGGAUCAAAGCCCAGGCCUUCACAUGUGUUUCUGUUUAUGAAUAAGUCACCGGGUUCUUCCAGAGUAUGAACGAAGAACACACUCACUGGACUUGCAUCUGUAACUUCCCCUCAUUUUCCCCCGGGCCCUGCUGUGGUAUGUGAUUUUGGGUUUAUUUGUUCGGCUUAUGCAUACUGUGCAUGAGUACAACCGCCGACACUCUGGGAUACACACAUGCAUAUGCACGUGCGCGUGUACACACGCGUGCACGCACACGCACGCACGCACGCGCACACACACGCGCACACACACACACACACACACACACACACACACACACACACACACGCAUACACACACAUACACACUCACAGUGCCUGACCCUCAGCAAGCAAUAAACCUCACUUCAAGGGCAACAGCAGUGCCGAAAACAGGAUAUGAGAAUGUGUCUUAAGCCUCCCAGCCAGAUGAAAAGCGUAGUAGAAAAUGUUCUCGCCACUCAGCAGAACCAGAUGCCCGUGGCCUGAAAAGUGAAGACAACACUUUUUGUGUUUGUGCUCUCCUUCAUCUCUGAGGCUCAUUCAGGACUGCUGCCGAUGUCAUUUACCUUUUUUUUAUUGAUACCAGGCUUUUUAAAGAUACAUUCAAACUAAUUACGAAAUUAAACAUAUUGUUUACAUGCAUCUGAAUAUUAAUAAUCUUGUUUUUUUUUAUAUUGCUGAGUAGUAGCACUACACUAUGUUCAUAUAACAUAAGAAAGUGAAAAAUGGUUGCUUCGUUAAGUACAAAAAUAACAAGGAGGCAAUAUCAAAAUUUUAUAAAAAACUUUAAUUAAGGUGUUAAAAGUCAACAAUAAAUAUGAAACAUUACUGGUUUUCUCAUCUCAUCUUCACAAAGGCAUUUUUAAAAAAAAAUAUGUGCAUGCUACAUAGGGUAUAACACAACAAUAUGACCUUUUUAAUGCACAAUUGAAUGAUCUUUGAGAUGCAGUCACAAAACAUGACUACAGUAUGUGUCUGUUGAACUAGUUACAUGUAGGCCUAAUAUUACUUUCACUUCAUUGACUUUAUAUUUUUCAUUAAAAAUGGCACAGUUUAAACAUUUGUGAAAAUAAAGUGUUAUAAAUGCACAUAUUCAGAGCUUGUUUCACAUUAAACAACGUAUGUUAUUUCGAUAUGCGCUUUGAUAGACUUAAAGUAAAAGUUUAAUCUUGAAUCGUAAACAUUAGACUGUGAUUUUGGCUAUAAAUAUGGAAAUAUAUAUAUAUAUAUAUAUUGAAUGUUGAAGUGCAUUAUAAGUGAUUAUAACAUUACACUGUCUCUGUUAUUAAUAUUUUCAUAUAUAAUGUGAAUUUGCUCAACUGUGAAGAUUCUUGUAUGUAUAAAUUCUUUCAUAAUACAGAAGGCAUACAUUUCUUCUUUAGUAGCAGUGAAGGUGCACCAGAGACAUACUGCAUAUUCACAGUGGAGGAGAAACAAUUCAGUAAAGCAUGUGGGUAAUAAGUUAAAGGUUCACUAUAAUUAAUAUUUAGCCUGACUGUUCCACUGACCGUCUUCUGUCAGUCAUUGAGAAAUCACUGAGAAAAUGUGCUGAAACAGCAUACCCCCCCCCCCCCCCCAACACACACACACAAAUUGAACUUGUCAAAAAAAAGAGAAGUUAGAAAGAUCAAUUGCGAAAUCAAUUGCGUAGAAGGAGACUGGCAUUGCACAGCUUUAUGUAAUGGUUAAAAGCUCUGUGCUGUCACAGGAAGAGCAAUAGCAUUACUAAUGGCAAGGGUCAGAUGCUCUUCGAUAACCCAAUGAAGUGUGAUAUUGAUCAGUCAGCAGUGGGAUUUCAAAGCACUUGCUUUCAACACAUUAGAUAAUAUUUAAACUGGAAGGGGAUGUAUGAAGCCCAAAGCCCUAAUGCUUCAGUUCAUCUCUCAGUAAGUGUUGUCAUGACUAAGGACUUCCUUCAUAUGAAAAGUAGACAGAAAUGUUACAGAAGACACAAGUUACUCAAAUAAUGUUUAUGUGCCUAUGUUGUUUUUUUUCUGUGUCUGGUUUGAUGCCUGUCUUCAUGCCACCUGAAGAGGGGAAAGAGGGUUCUAAGGCAAAAUUCUCAGCACCAGGUUAAAGCUGCUUACCCAGAUUACCUCGAGUUCCAGGCAGACAGGAGAUCACUGCACCUGAUGAAACAUUCAUGUUGCGACACCGUGCCAGACCUCUUGCAAGCCUGCUUGAUCUUUGGCCCUGUGACUGAGGCUAACCGCUGCCGCCCUGUUCACCGGGUCAAUCGAACACAAGUUACCUGCUGUGCAGUGAGACUCACUUUCAGUCAGGUAGAUGUGGGUAAUGAGGUACUCAAUGGUCUUUUGUGUAUUAACAGAGUCAGUUGUUUAUUUUCCAAGUACUUAAAAAGUGACCCAGGCAAUUUCUCGCAAAAAUCCCAGCGCUUUAUGAUGACUCAUAAUCAGUUUACUCAGCAGAGGCCAUUUUGUGUGUGAAGCCUGAAAGGAAGCAGCACACAGACAUAAAGCAUGACUCAUGCCAAUGAGCUUUCUCACUCUGCACGUAGACAAACCAGACCCUCACACUUACAGUGUGUAGAGUAGAGUACACCAUGUUUCUGGAUCUGUUUUCAACUGUUUCAUGAUUCAUAUCAGUAUUGAGAUCCCAAAACCACACUUAUCUAUCUAUCGAAUGGCAUAGAUGGUGCGCUUUGAAUCAAAGCAGUUAUCCAGAAAUGUGUUCUUAUAUAAUAUGAUUGAAUAGGAUCAUAUGCCAUUAUAAAAGCAAGUGCACAUGCUUUGUGUUGUAAAUCAUGCCUCAAGCCCAGGAAAAUGUUUAAGACCUGUGAUCUCAGACAAAUGGAUGAGUCCAAAAUCUCCAGGCCUAUAAUAAACGGUAGCCUUAGUCUGGCCCGCUCAUUAACUACUGCUGGAAAAUACCAUGAGAGGAUGUCUGAAUACAUCCUGAUGACUCAGAGCAUAUGCACACCCACCGCCACCACCAUGUCUGAGUGACUAACUAGCCUCCUGUUCCACUGGAGCCCUGAACUGAUUUCUGUGAUGCAUACGGCAAAGCGAGGUCACUCGCAAUGUGUCAUGUUUAAUGUAGCCUCGUUGCCACGAGGUGGGAUGAGAGGAGAAAAAUGUGAGAGUAUGAGCCUUUAAGGGCACAACAGUGGGUGAAUAGGAUUCAUUGUGGGUCUUUAAUCUACUGUCUACCUCUGCAGUUAAUCCUGCUGAUGACGUCAGGACGAGAACGGUCAGGUUGAUUCUCUUCUCCCUUAAUGAUUAUGUAAUUCCAUGGAACAUAUGACAGGAGAAAUGUAAGAGCCAGACAGUUUCUUUAAAGAGGCAUGGUGCCUCAGCAAAUGUCUUCCUUCUGAAAUGUCUUGAUUUUUCUGUGCUCAGAAAUAUCACACAUGCUGCAGCCUACAGUUCAAAACAUUUACUUUGAGUAUUUUAAAAGCACUAUGCUCAUUAUCUCCUGCUGUAAUAAUCAAAGUGGGGUCUGCGAUUUUUAAUGACUUUAAUGAUGUUAUGAGAUCAGUAUCGGUUGCUGUUUACUGGUAUUUACUGGUUACUGGGUUUAUAAUUAGGCCAGUCACAUAUAGGUAUUUCCUUGAGGAAGUUACUCAUUUUCUAAUCUAAGAUUCAGUAUAUAGGGAUCUAACACAAUGUCACUAUCUCUAUCUGUUGUUAAACCUGAAGUGGGUGUGGCCUAAACUGAGUUUUUUAUUUAAAUAGAGAUGUGUGAGGGACUUUUUUUUUUUUUUUUAAAUUCUGCUCACUCUGUUGUUAUUAUUUUUGGUUUGUACCUGCCCACAGCAUUUUCAGUUAUUUCUGUUUCCCAAAAUAUAUACAAACUAGUAGCUUAAUUUAAAACAGUGCAUUCCUGACCAGAGAGUUACUAAGGAUGAAAGAACAAAUGCUGUAUAUACAUCACUCUAAAUGCAUUGUGCUCAUUCAUGUCAAUGGUCUUUCUUUGUUCCAAGUUGAGAGCUUCCAUCUGGCCACUCUGCCAUAAAGCCCAGAUCAGUGGAGUGUUGCUGUGAUGGUUGACCUUCUGCAAGUUUCAGAAGUGACCAUCGGGCUUCUUGGUCACCUCUCUUACCAAGGCCCUUCUCCCUCAAUUGCUCAUUUUGGCCAGGCAGCAAGCUCUAGGAAGAGUCCUGGUCAUUCUAAAGAAUUAUGGAGGCCACUGUGCUCUUGGGAACCUUCAAUGCAGCAGAAAUGUAUUUGUAGCCUUCCCUAUAUCUGUGCCUCGAAAAAAUCCUGUCAGCUCUGCAGGCAGUUACUUUGACCUCAUGGUUUGUUUUUUGCUCUGAUAUGGAUUUUCAGUGUUAGACCUUAUAUAGACAUGUGUGUGCCUUUCCAAAUCAUGCCCAAACAAUUUAAUUUUUCACAUGUGGACUCCAAACAAAAUGUAGAAACAUCUCAAAGAUGAUCCAGAGAAAUGAGCUGCACCUGAGCUAAAUUUCAAGUGUCAUAGCAUACUUAUGUCUGUGAUAUUUAAAUUUUUCCUUUUUAAUAAAUUUGCAAAGUUAUCACCA